ACUUUGGGAUUAAGUAAAAGUUAUUGUUAGUUAGUUAGAUAGUUAAAUUAAGGAAAAAAUAUUAGUAAUAAAAGGUAAAAUUAGGUAUUACUGUAAUAUAGGUAUAAAUUUUAAAUCGAAGCUAAAAACUCCUAAUUAUAAACUAGGAUUAGAUACCCUAUUAUUCUAGGAAGAUUGAAUACAAUUAAUUAUUAAUAGAUAGAUACUCUAAAAUUAAAAAAUUUGGCGGUGACUUAAUCUCAUUAGAGGAACUUGUUUUUUAAUCGAUAAACCACGAAGUAUCUUACUUGCUUUUGUAAAAUUCAGUUUGUAUACCAUCAUUAUUUGGCUAUUCUAAAAAGAUAAAUUUCCGAGUUUGAUUAAUCACCCAAAUUAGAUCAAGGUGCAGCCUAUAAGCAAGCUAAAAUGAGUUACAAUAAAUUGUUUUAUACGAAUUAAUAGUGCUAGGUUAUUAUGAAGGAGGAUUUAAUUGUAGUGUGAAGUUAAUAAGGUCACAUGAAAUAAGCUCUAAGUCGUGU
rnacentral:rRNA from 1 species